rnacentral:rRNA from 1 species
AAGCUCGUAGUUGAAUUUCGAGACCGGUCUACUGGUCGUGCUUUUGUACGUACUGGUAUAAUCGGUUUCUCUCUUUUGACAAACUAUAAUGCCAUUAAUUUGGUGUUUUAGGGAAUCAGGACUGUUACUUUGAAAAAAUUAGAGUGUUUAAAGCAGGCUCACGCUUGAAUACAUUAGCAUGAAAUAACGAAAUAGGACGUUUGAUUCUAUUUUGUUGGUUUCUAGGAUCGAUGUCGGUAAUGAUUAAUAGGGAUAGUUGGG